GGAAGGUUGGGUUGCACUUGCGCUGCCCUACCUGAAAUCCCAGACUGGUUGCAGCCUGAGCACUGUGCUUCUGCACUGCUGGGAAGGGACGGGUAGACAACGCAGCCACAGCACCUUGGAAAUGAGGUUUCAAGAAGCCAGGCGCACACGAGUGAGCAGCUGCAACAGAGCCUGCACAGACUCCAGCCACCCUGCACCAGCAUCCUGCCUCGAUUCUCCUUCACACGAAGGAUGCGCUGUUUGGAAAGAGGCGGUUUGCUCAGAAAUCCCCAUCUAGAAAGUCAUUUGUUUUCAUCAGAGCUGCUCGAGUGAAACUCAUGGAAAAUUCCCAGGCAGCAGCAGGGCUGGCUCCUGCCUGCCACAUCACAAAGAGCCACAGAGAGAGGGUCCCUGCUGGAAUGGCACGGCCACAGAAACUGCAAGCCGAGGUGAAAAGAGAGGCCUGAAGUCUGGAAAGUGACAGCAGAAAUCUCACGCAGCACUUGAACCCUGGCCUGCUGUAAGCAAUUCCACCAAACGUGUGAUUCACCCUUCUGUGAGCGCAGUGCUGCCGUCCGCUGAUUUCCACGCUGCGCGCUCAGCCCGCCCAGCAAAAGAUCUCCGUUCCGAAGUUCAUAACAAAUAACCCCAUCAUUAACCUCAUCCCCCAAAUCUCAGAUCCACUCUCAGAAUGUGACACCUGCCCCCUCCUGUCAGCUCAGGAAAAAUAACACCCAGAGCUCCAGCACAGGUCUCCAUCUGCAGAUGAUCCCCAGGCUUUCCCCCUCAUCUCCCUGAGCUGCCUCCCAUUUGUCUGAGCCAUAAGCUCUCCAGCUGUGCGUGCCCAAAUCUCAUUACCUUGAAGACCAGUGGGGACGCUGCCCAAUCCCCCUCUGCACAGGGAUCCUUUCUGCCCCAGAAAGCCAC
ensembl:lncRNA